rnacentral:rRNA from 1 species
UGGAUUAGGCAUGCAAGUCGAGCGAUCCCGCAAGGAAUAGCGGCAAACGGGUUAGUAACACGUGAGUAAUUUUCCCCGAAGACAGGCAAAGCAUCCUGAAAAGGGUGGUAAUUCCUGAUAACACAUUGAGGACUCAUGUUCUUAAUGUUAAAGACCGGGACCGCAAGGCCGGUUGCUUUGGGAUGAGCUCGCGUCCUAUCAGCUAGUUGGUGAGGUAACGGCCCACCAAGGCUUUUGACGGGUAGCUGGUCUGAGAGGACGACCAGCAACACUGGGACUGAGACACUGCCCAGACUCCUACGGGAGGCUGCAGUCGAGAAUCUUUAGCAAUGGACGAAAGUCUGUCUAUGCGGCGCCGCGUGCAGGAUGAAGCUUUUCGGAUCGUAAGCUCC